UACGUAGGGUGCGAGCGUUAAUCGGAAUUACUGGGCGUAAAGCGUGCGCAGGCGGUUCGUUGUGUCGGCGGUGAAAGCCCCGGGCUUAACCUGGGAAUGGCCGUUGAAACUGGCGAACUGGAGUGUGGCAGAGGGGGGUGGAAUUCCGCGUGUAGCAGUGAAAUGCGUAGAGAUGCGGAGGAACACCGACGGCGUAGGCAGCGCCCUGGCUGUGAAUAAAGCUGACACUGAGGCACGAAAGCUGGGGGAGCAAACAGG
rnacentral:rRNA from 1 species